rnacentral:rRNA from 1 species
GGUUAAGUUAGAAAGGGCGCACGGUGGAUGCCUUGACACUAGGAGUCGAUGAAGGACGGGACUAACGCCGAUAUGCUUCGGGGAGCUGUAAGUAAGCUUUGAUCCGAAGAUUUCCGAAUGGGGAAACCCACCAUACGUAAUGGUAUGGUAUCCUUAUCUGAAUACAUAGGGUAAGGAAGACAGACCCAGGGAACUGAAACAUCUAAGUACCUGGAGGAAGAGAAAGCAAAUGCGAUUUCCUGAGUAGCGGCGAGCGAAACGGAACAUAGCCCAAACCAAGAGGCUUGCCUCUUGGGGUUGUAGGACAUUCUAUACGGAGUUACAAAGGAACGAGGUAGACGAAGCGACCUGGAAAGGUCCGUCGUAGAGGGUAACAACCCCGUAGUCGAAACUUCGUUCUCUCUUGAAUGUAUCCUGAGUACGGCGGAACACGUGAAAUUCCGUCGGAAUCUGGGAGGACCAUCUCCCAAGGCUAAAUACUCCCUAGUGAUCGAUAGUGAACCAGUACCGUGAGGGAAAGGUGAAAAGCACCCCGGAAGGGGAGUGAAAGAGAUCCUGAAACCGUGUGCCUACAAAUAGUCAGAGCCCGUUAAUGGGUGAUGGUGUGCCUUUUGUAGAAUGAACCGGCGAGUUACGAUCCCGUGCGAGGUUAAGCUGAAGAGGCGGAGCCGCAGCGAAAGCGAGUCUGAAUAGGGCGUUUAGUACGUGGUCGUAGACCCGAAACCAGGUGAUCUACCCAUGUCCAGGGUGAAGUUCAGGUAACACUGAAUGGAGGCCCGAACCCACGCACGUUGAAAAGUGCGGGGAUGAGGUGUGGGUAGCGGAGAAAUUCCAAUCGAACCUGGAGAUAGCUGGUUCUCCCCGAAAUAGCUUUAGGGCUAGCCUUAAGUGUAAGAGUCUUGGAGGUAGAGCACUGAUUGGACUAGGGGUCCUCAUCGGAUUACCGAAUUCAGUCAAACUCCGAAUGCCAAUGACUUAUCCUUAGGAGUCAGACUGCGAGUGAUAAGAUCCGUAGUCAAAAGGGAAACAGCCCAGACCGCCAGCUAAGGUCCCAAAGUGUGUAUUAAGUGGAAAAGGAUGUGGAGUUGCUUAGACAACUAGGAUGUUGGCUUAGAAGCAGCCACCAUUUAAAGAGUGCGUAAUAGCUCACUAGUCGAGUGACUCUGCGCCGAAAAUGUACCGGGGCUAAAUACACCACCGAAGCUGCGGAUUGAUACCAAUGGUAUCAGUGGUAGGGGAGCGUUCUAAGGACAGUGAAGUCAGACCGGAAGGACUGGUGGAGUGCUUAGAAGUGAGAAUGCCGGUAUGAGUAGCGAAAGACGGGUGAGAAUCCCGUCCACCGAAUGCCUAAGGUUUCCUGAGGAAGGCUCGUCCGCUCAGGGUUAGUCAGGACCUAAGCCGAGGCCGACAGGCGUAGGCGAUGGACAACAGGUUGAUAUUCCUGUACCACCUCUUUAUCGUUUGAGCAAUGGAGGGACGCAGAAGGAUAGAAGAAGCGUGCGAUUGGUUGUGCACGUCCAAGCAGUUAGGCUGAUAAGUAGGCAAAUCCGCUUAUCGUGAAGGCUGAGCUGUGAUGGGGAAGCUCCUUAUGGAGCGAAGUCUUUGAUUCCCCGCUGCCAAGAAAAGCUUCUAGCGAGAUAAAAGGUGCCUGUACCGCAAACCGACACAGGUAGGCGAGGAGAGAAUCCUAAGGUGUGCGAGAGAACUCUGGUUAAGGAACUCGGCAAAAUGACCCCGUAACUUCGGGAGAAGGGGUGCUUUCUUAACGGAAAGCCGCAGUGAAUAGGCCCAAGCGACUGUUUAGCAAAAACACAGCUCUCUGCGAAGCCGUAAGGCGAAGUAUAGGGGGUGACACCUGCCCGGUGCUGGAAGGUUAAGGAGAGGGGUUAGCGUAAGCGAAGCUCUGAACUGAAGCCCCAGUAAACGGCGGCCGUAACUAUAACGGUCCUAAGGUAGCGAAAUUCCUUGUCGGGUAAGUUCCGACCCGCACGAAAGGUGUAACGAUUUGGGCACUGUCUCAACCAGAGACUCGGUGAAAUUAUAGUACCUGUGAAGAUGCAGGUUACCCGCGACAGGACGGAAAGACCCCGUGGAGCUUUACUGUAGCCUGAUAUUGAAUUUUGGUACAGUUUGUACAGGAUAGGCGGGAGCCUUUGAAACCGGAGCGCUAGCUUCGGUGGAGGCGCUGGUGGGAUACCGCCCUGACUGUAUUGAAAUUCUAACCUACGGGUCUUAUCGACCCGGGAGACAGUGUCAGGUGGGCAGUUUGACUGGGGCGGUCGCCUCCUAAAGUGUAACGGAGGCGCCCAAAGGUUCCCUCAGAAUGGUUGGAAAUCAUUCGUAGAGUGCAAAGGCAUAAGGGAGCUUGACUGCGAGACCUACAAGUCGAGCAGGGACGAAAGUCGGGCUUAGUGAUCCGGUGGUUCCGCAUGGAAGGGCCAUCGCUCAACGGAUAAAAGCUACCCCGGGGAUAACAGGCUUAUCUCCCCCAAGAGUCCACAUCGACGGGGAGGUUUGGCACCUCGAUGUCGGCUCAUCGCAUCCUGGGGCUGUAGUCGGUCCCAAGGGUUGGGCUGUUCGCCCAUUAAAGCGGUACGCGAGCUGGGUUCAGAACGUCGUGAGACAGUUCGGUCCCUAUCCGUCGUGGGCGUAGGAAAUUUGAGAGGAGCUGUCCUUAGUACGAGAGGACCGGGAUGGACGCACCGCUGGUGUACCAGUUGUUCUGCCAAGGGCAUAGCUGGGUAGCUAUGUGCGGAAGGGAUAAGUGCUGAAAGCAUCUAAGCAUGAAGCCCCCUCAAGAUGAGAUUUCCCAUAGCGUAAGCUAGUAAGAUCCCUGAAAGAUGAUCAGGUUGAUAGGUUCGAGGUGGAAGCAUGGUGACAUGUGGAGCUGACGAAUACUAAUAGAUCGAGGACUUAACCAU